UACAAAAUCAUUUAAAAUACAUUACAGUAUGCCUAAAAGGAUUAAUAAUUAUAAUUUGGUUGUAAAUGCAGUCGGCGCGUAUAUUACUCCUUGUUUCGGGGUAAGAGUAAAUACUUGGCAUCAUUAGGAUAGCGAAGAUGCGGAUUCUGUUAUGCUAUUUACGCCGUGCGCUCAGCUGGGGGACUUUAAACCUCCGAGAAAGGUCUGCUGUCAGAAAUCUGAUCUAAUCUGCAUGUUUGUAUCUUAAACAGGGCAUGUUAUCUGAUUCUUUUCUUCUAUCAAAUCGACAGGAGAUACAACCUGGGAAAUCCGCAAUAAAACAAACUGCGUUCUCAAAAGAAAAAUAUAAAAGCAAUACUUCGCCAAACAGAGCGGUUACACCUGCAACACGUCUGUUAGGUCCGAGCUGAGUCACCUCACGGGGGAGUUCGCACGUUCUUCUGGCGUGGUCCACUACGGGAGAACCGGGUUCCUGUAAGGGACUCGGGCGUGCCGUGUCAUUACUGGGACAAGCGACUGUUGGUAAUGGGCGGGUGGGUAU
rnacentral:lncRNA from 1 species